rnacentral:rRNA from 1 species
GACGAACGCUGGCGGCGUGCUUAACACAUGCAAGUCGAGCGGAAAGGCCACUUCGGUGGUACUCGGGCGGCGAACGGGUGAGUAACACGUGAGUAAUCUGCCCUUGGCUUUGGGAUAGCCACCGGAAACGGUGAUUAAUACCGGAUAUGACCACUCUAGGCAUCUAGUGGUGGUGGAAAGUUUUUCGGCCAGGGAUGUGCUCGCGGCCUAUCAGCUUGAUGGUGAGGUAAUGGCUCACCAUGGCUUCGACGGGUAGCCGGCCUGAGAGGGUGACCGGUCACACUGGGACUGAGACACGGCCCAGACUCCUACGGGAGGCAGCAGUGGGGAAUAUUGGACAAUGGGCGGAAGCCUGAUCCAGCAACGCCGCGUGAGGGAUGACGGCCUUCGGGUUGUAAACCUCUUUCAGCAGGGACGAAGCGCGAGUGACGGUACCUGCAGAAGAAGCACCGGCCAACUACGUGCCAGCCGCCGCAGUAA